CGGGGAUGUGGACCGUGCGCGCGGCGCCGGGGACACGGGGGUUUUGCCGUGUCCGGACGGGAUCGGAGACGGGUAGGGACGUCGCGCGGCGCUAGCUGCUCGACAGCCUCAGGUGCAGGUCCCCCCCUGUGCUGCCUGCAUGCUGUACCGGGUCGCAUGCACGGCGGAUCCUCUGACGACGUGUUGGGUGGCGCUGCUCCAUCAUAUGCUAUUUCUUCUCCCGCUGCGGAAAGGUCAACUAGUACGUGCUCCGACUUGUUCGCGUCGUUCGUACGUUGUCACGAGGGUUCGGAUCAGCCAUCCACGGCCCGGCGCGUUGUCCUGAACACGAGGAUAGCCUUUGCGGUUCUGCUAGUUGAGCUUCUUGCAUGAACUUUUACAGCAAGAUUAAUAAUUGUUUCAUUCCCCGGUGGUGGCGAAUCUAACCGACGUUAAGAGUAUUAGAUCAAC
rnacentral:lncRNA from 7 species